rnacentral:rRNA from 1 species
ACGGGUGAGUAACACGUAGGUAACCUGCCUAUGAGACUGGGAUAACUAUCGGAAACGAUGGCUAAGACCGGAUAACUGGUUUUCUCGCAUGAGAGAAUCAUGAAACACGGAGCAAUCUGUGGCUUAUAGAUGGGCCUGCGGCGCAUUAGCUAGUUGGUAGGGUAAUGGCCUACCAAGGCGACGAUGCGUAGCCGACCUGAGAGGGUGACCGGCCACACUGGGACUGAGACACGGCCCAGACUCCUACGGGAGGCAGCAGUAGGGAAUCUUCCGCAAUGGACGCAAGUCUGACGGAGCAACGCCGCGUGAGUGAUGAAGGUUUUCGGAUCGUAAAGCUCUGUUGCCCUAGACGAACAGCAAGGAGAGUAACUGCUCUUUGUGUGACGGUAUAGGAGAAGAAAGCCCCGGCUAACUACGUGCCAGCAGCCGCGGUAAUACGUAGGGGGCAAGCGUUGUCCGGAAUUAUUGGGCGUAAAGCGCGCGCAGGCGGUCAAUUAAGUUGGGUGUUUAAGCCCGGGGCUCAACCCCGGUUCGCAUCCAAAACUGGUUGACUUGAGUGUAGGAGAGGAAAGUGGAAUUCCACGUGUAGC